rnacentral:lncRNA from 1 species
AAACGUACAUAUUGAGCGCUCCCUGUGCACCAGGUGCUGUGCCAGGCACUGGGGAUCUGCAGAUAAACAGGAAAAGGUCACUGCCCUCUGGAACGCCACAGUCUGGCAGGAGAGGAAGACUAGAGAUAGGCAGCGACACCUCGGUGAGGCCAUGUGAAGACACAGGGAAAAGGCAGCUGUCUGCAAGCCAGGAAGAAAGCUCUCACCAGAAACUGACUCUGCCAGAGCUUGAUUUUGGAGUUAUGGCCUCCAGAACUGUGAGAAAAUACAUUUCUGUUGUAUAAGCC